UGGCAGAUUGGUUCCCUCAAGCUGUAGAUGCUACAAGGUGUGGCCACACUUUGUGUUUACAAGCUAUUAUCACAUCUCAUCAUGGGCUUUUUCAACUUCUGGGUCUACUGGGUAAAACACAGAGAGCCCAAACUGCAAUAUUGAAUUCAGCUGGGUCUUGCCGCUCUCCCCAUGCAGCACCAGGCCAUCCCAGGGGAACUAUUCCUACAGUAACCAGGAUCCAGGCUCAAAAUCUGUGAGGCCCAUCUUUCUGCAUUAAAACUGAGAUGCGUGCAAGAUCCUACUCAAAGUUUUCAUCUGGUGCCUAUUAAAAACGAGACCAAGCUAAUUGAAACACUCAGUGUGUGUUCUACCAAGCAAAUGUCUUCAGAAAUCUCCACAGGCUCCCUGAACAUAGCAGGAAGCACUUCAAAAUACCACUGCUGAAGCCUUCUUUGCAGCUUCUCUCUCAGAUCCCAUUCCCAUCCUAUUUCCCAGUUCUCUGACUUCUCCCCUUUGCUCCUCAAGUGAGAGAUGCUUUCCAGACUCAAGGCCCCAGAUCACCAUGCUGCAAAGUAUCCUCAGUUUACAGUGAUUUCAGCAAAUGACAGCACUGGUAGUACUCUGUAGGACUUGAUUCUUGAUGUUUAAAUAUGCGGUAUACAUACAGCUAUUGUAAGAAGGUAGUGGCAGAUCUUUUGCAGAGGGGGCUUUCACCAUCUGACAGAGCUUCUCUACUCAGUCUGACAGCUGGAGUACAUAGGAAUCACUGUAUUUGAUUCCAUAUAUCCAUCUGCUCCAGAGCGCUGGUUUUGACAGGCAAACAGCUGCCUUGCUAAGACACAAAUAGUUUCCACAAAGGGGAAGUUUGGCCCUAACUUCCAUGAAGGUUACAGGACAGUCUGUGGCGUGAGUCUGAGAAUUUAUGGCCCUUCUCACACCUACCAUAAAGCUAUAAAAUAUUUGCUGGUGCCCAGAAUACCACCAGGACAGAUAAACCUGCCUGACAGCUCCUCUUUCCAGAUUCCCCAAGCUCCGUGUGACCAGUCACUCAUUGUGUGUGGCACAAUGGAGGAUGGCAGCCUUGCCAUCCUCUCUUCCCACCAACAACCCCAAAGUCAUCGCUUCAGAAAUGCUGGUGAUGGCA